rnacentral:rRNA from 1 species
CCUACGGGUGGCAGCAGUGAGGAAUAUUGGUCAAUGGGCGCAAGCCUGACCCAGCAACGCCGCGUGAAGGAAGAAUGCUUUCGGGUUUUAAACUUCUUUUAAUAGGGAAGAGCAGAAGACGGUACCUCUCGAAUAAGCUACGGCUAACUACGUGCCAGCAGCCGCGGUAAUACGUAGGUGGCAAGCGUUGUCCGGAUUUACUGGGUGUAAAGGGCGUGCAGCCGGGAAGACAAGUCAGAUGUGAAAUCCCGCGGCUCAACCGCGGAAUUGCAUUUGAAACUGUUUUUCUUGAGUACCGGAGAGGUCAUCGGAAUUCGUGGUGUAGCGGUGAAAUGCGUAGAUAGAAGGAAGAACACCAGUGGCGAAGGCGGAUGACUGAACGGCAACUGACGGUGAGGCGCGAAAGCGUGGGGAGCAAACAGGAUUAGAUACCCGGGUAGUC